UACGUAGGGGGCUAGCGUUGUCCGGAAUCAUUGGGCGUAAAGCGCGCGUAGGCGGCCAGACAAGUCCGGUGUGAAAGUCACAGGCUCAACCUGUGAAUGCCGCUGGAAACUGUCUGGCUAGAGUCCGGAAGGGGCGAGUGGAAUUCCUGGUGUAGCGGUGAAAUGCGCAGAUAUCAGGAGGAACACCAAUUGCGAAGGCAGCUCGCUGGACGUUACUGACGCUGGAGACGCGA
rnacentral:rRNA from 1 species